rnacentral:rRNA from 1 species
GAUGAACGCUGGCGGCGUGCCUAAUACAUGCAAGUCGAGCGAACGGACGAGAAGCUCGCUUUUCUGAUGUUACCGGCGGACGGGUGAGUAACACGUGGAUAACCUACCUAUAAGACUGGGAUAACUUCGGGAAACCGGAGCUAAUACCGGAUAAUAUUUUGAAUCGCACGGUUCAAAAGUGAAAGACGGUCUUGCUGUUACUUAUAGAUGGAUCCGCGCUGCAUUAGCGAGUUCGUAAGGUAACGGCAAACCAAGGCAACGAUACAUAGCAGACCAGAGAGGGAGAGCAGCCACGCUGGAACGGAGACACGGUCCAGACUCCUACGGGAGGCAGAAGUAGGGAAUCUUCCGCAAUGGGCGAAAGCGUGACGGAGCAACGCCGCGUGAGUGAUGAAGGUCUUCGGGUCGUAAAACUCAGUUAGUAGGGAAGAACAUAAGUGUAAGUAACUGUGCACAUCUUGACGGUACCAAAUCAGAAAGCCACGGCUAACUACGUG